rnacentral:rRNA from 1 species
ACUUUCAGCGACGGAUGUCUUGGCUCCCACUACGAUGAUAGCACGCAGCGAUAUCGAUACGUCUUGCGACUUGCAGAAUCCAGUGAAUCAUCAAAACUUUGAACGCACCUUGCGCUUCCGGGAUAUCCCUGGGAGCAUGCUUGUCGGAGUGUC